UACCAUGGUGGUAACGGGUAACGGGGUGUUAGGGCACGACACCGGAGAGGGAGCCUGAGAAACGGCUACCACAUCCAAGGAUGGCAGCAGGCGCGCAAAUUACCCAAUCCCGACACGGGGAGGUAGUGACAAUAAAUAACAAUACGGGGUUCUUUAGGAUCUCGUGAUUGGAAUGAGUACAAUUUAAAUCUCUUAACGAGGAACAAUUGGAGGGCAAGUCUGGUGCCUGCAGCCGCGGUAAUUCCAGCUCCAAUAGCGUAUAUUAAAGUUGUUGCAGUUAAAAAGCUCGUAGUUGAAUUUCGGGGUCAGUAGGUCGGUCGUGCCACUGGUAUGAACUGGUUUUACUGAUUCCUCCCUCUUGAAGAACUGUAAUGCCAUUAAUUUGGUGUUGCAGGGAAUCAGGACUGUUACUUUGAAAAAAUUAGAGUGUUUAAAGCAGGCUUUAGCUUGAAUACAUUAGCAUGGAAUAAUGAAGUAGGACGUUUGAUCCUAUUUUGUUGGUUUCUAGGAUUGACGUAAUGAUUAAUAGGGAUAGUUGGGGGCAUUAGUAUUCAAUUGUCAGAGGUGAAAUUCUUGUAUUUAUUGAAGACUAACUACUGCGAAAGCAUUUGCCAAGGAUGUUUUCAUUAAUCAAGAACGAAAGUUAGGGGAUCGAAGACGAUCAGAUACCGUCGUAGUCUUAACCAUAAACUAUGCCGACUAGGGAUCGGAUGAUGUUAAUUUUUUAAUGACUCAUUCGGCGCCUUACGGGAAACCAAAGUGUUU
rnacentral:rRNA from 1 species